GACGAACGCUGGCGGCGUGCCUAAUACAUGCAAGUUGAGCGCUGAAGGUUGGUACUUGUACCGACUGGAUGAGCAGCGAACGGGUGAGUAACGCGUGGGGAAUCUGCCUUUGAGCGGGGGACAACAUUUGGAAACGAAUGCUAAUACCGCAUAAAAACUUUAAACACAAGUUUUAAGUUUGAAAGAUGCAAUUGCAUCACUCAAAGAUGAUCCCGCGUUGUAUUAGCUAGUUGGUGAGGUAAAGGCUCACCAAGGCGAUGAUACAUAGCCGACCUGAGAGGGUGAUCGGCCACAUUGGGACUGAGACACGGCCCAAACUCCUACGGGAGGCAGCAGUAGGGAAUCUUCGGCAAUGGACGAAAGUCUGACCGAGCAACGCCGCGUGAGUGAAGAAGGUUUUCGGAUCGUAAAACUCUGCUGGUAGAGAAGAACGUUGGUGAGAGUGGAAAGCUCAUCAAGUGACGGUAACUACCCAGAAAGGGACGGCUAACUACGUG
rnacentral:rRNA from 1 species